rnacentral:rRNA from 1 species
UACGGAGGGGGCUAGCGUUGUUCGGAAUUACUGGGCGUAAAGCGCACGUAGGUGGCUUUGUAAGUUAGAGGUGAAAGCCCGGGGCUCAACUCCGGAAUUGCCUUUAAGACUGCAUCGCUAGAACGUCGGAGAGGUAAGUGGAAUUCCGAGUGUAGAGGUGAAAUUCGUAGAUAUUCGGAAGAACACCAGUGGCGAAGGCGACUUACUGGACGACUGUUGACACUGAGGUGCGAAAGGCGUGGGGAGCAAACAGGAU